CAAGUCCUGAUCCUGUAUACUGAGCGCUGGCCUGGCUCCCUGAACCUCAGAUCAUUCUCUGAUAGGAAGGAGGGGCCCUAUGUAAGCCCCCCUGAGAAGGGAACAGUUCCACAGUUUGUCACUCAUCUUUUCACUCGACUGAGCGAAGAAAAACAGUUCAGUGGCAUUCGAUUGUGAAUCUUGUUCAAAUUGUACCUCUUCCCAGCAAUUGUAAAACAUACUGUGGUUGUCAUGCCAGAGGAGGUGUGGCUGAUUGAGGUAACAGGGUUGGUGGAGAGGUGAAGGUAUCAUGUAGCAGCUAUAAAACAGCCAAGGGAACUCAACGAGGACAUUUCUGCUGAGAUACUUUGUAAGUUUUGAGGAGCUUAUUUGCGGCAUGUUCUGCUUUGUUGGUGUGUGUAGGCUUUUGUGUUGAGAGGUUGUCAGGACUGUUUAUAUGUUGACCUAGUGCGUGUUUAUAUCCUUGCCUAAUGCUGAAUUCAUACUUCACUAACUUUCGGAUUAAUGUUGUAAACAUUCUGUACUUUUGCAUUUCUAACUAAUAAAAGACAGAAGUUUAUACAGCUGGCUCAAGAGACAGAGUUUGGCUUUAUCUCAUUGGUUGUUGAUUUAUUAGAACAUGGUCAGAGUUUCAGCCAAACAAAUAACAGCAGGAGAAAACAGCUGAAGACAUCUGGAUCUGGUUGACUGGUACCAAGAAGGAAGUGUUUGUAAUCAAGGGGUCAGCGUGGGGGUCUAGUAUUGGGGUCUAGAAUGGGAACAUACUGGUAUUGUAGAUAGGGUGGUCUCAAUACAAACAUCACGUUGAUGAUGUGGAGGAGGUAUUAAAAAGAGAAAGCUUCACUUGCUUUGCAUUCUGUCCUGUUCUUGCAGCGGACCAUACAGCAGCAGUGACACCAUGAGGUUCCAGGCUCUGUUCUUUCUCCUGCUCCUGGCAUGCAUGUACCUCACUCUGGCUCAAGGGUCCUAUGAGAACUGCUGUCUGAGGCAUGUUGCUGGCCUGAAGAAGAGUACCAAGAGGAAUGUUGUACGCUACAGGAUACAGGAAACAGAUGGAGGCUGCAACAUCAAGGCCAUUGUGUUCAUACUGAAGAAAGGGAAGACUGUUUGUGCCAAUCCCAGCCACAAAUGGGUACAGCAUCUGAGGACUGUUGUCGAUAAGAUUCCAGGGAAUGAGGGGAUGUAGUUGAUCAGUUGCUUCGUUGGAGGAUCUUUCAACCAGUGUACCAAUUUCCAAAAAUAGGACAGUCAUAUCAUCCUGUAACUAGAAUGUGAACUUCAUUAUAUUACUCAUUAUAUUACAGUUUGGCUUAAUGAGUUUAUAUUACAUGCUUUUGGGAGGAUACCUGAGAUUCAGAUGGCUGUUAGCAUGAGGUGACUAUCCGUGCCUGCUUGUAAUGUGCCACGGCAGCUUAGCAUUAUUGUGUGAGGGGGCGGAGGGGAUGGGGCGGGGGGGGGGUUAUUCACUAUCCUCAUGGGUACCGGAAAUCCCCCAAAAGUCCUCACAAGGGUAGUCAAUUAGGGAACAUUUUCCCUCAUGGGGACAUUUCCCACAUCCCCACGAGGACAAAUGCUAUUUUAAACUUAGGGGUUAGGUUUAGGUUCAGGGUUAGGUUUAGGGUUAGGGUUCAGGUUAGGGGUUAGGGAAAAUAGAUUUUAAAUGGAAAUCAAUUUUAGGUGGGGGGGUGGGGCAGAAUGCAUUGAAAAGCUACAAUUACUAUUUUGUUAAACCUUGAGACACUACAUGACAAAAAGUAUGUGGACACCUGCUCUAGUCGAACAUCUCAUUCCAAAAUCAUGGCAUUAAUAUGGAGUUGGUCCCCCCCUUUGCUGCUAUAACAGCCUCCACUCUCCUGGGAAGGCUUUCCACUUUAUGUUGGAACCUUGCUGCAGGGACUUGCUUCCAUUCAGCCACAAGAACAAAUGUGAGGUCGACAUUGAUGAUGGGCGAUUAGGCCUGGCUCACAGUCGAUGUUCCAAUUCAUCCCAAAGGUGUUCAAUGGGGUUGAGGUCAGGGCUCUGUGUAUGCCAGUCAAGUUCUUCCACACCGAUCUCGACAAACCAUUUCUGUAUGGACCUCACUUUGUGCAAGGGGGCAUUGGCAUGCUAAAACAGGAAAGGGCCUUCCCCAAACUGUUGUCACAAUGUUGGAAGCACAUAAUCAUCUAGAAUGUCAUUGUUUGCUGUAGCUUCAAGAUUUCCCUUCACUGGAACUAAGGGGCCUAGCCCGAUCCAUGAAUAACAGCCCCAGACCAUUAUUCCUCCUCCACCAAACUUUACAGUUGGCACUAUGCAUUGGGACAGGUAGAGUUUUCCUGGCAUCCGCCAAACCAAGAUUCAUCCGUCGGACUGCCAGAUGAUGAAGCGUGAUUCAUCACUCCAGAGAACGCAUUUCCACUGCUCCAGUCCAAUGGCGGUGAGCUUUACACCACUCCAGCUGCUUAACAUUGCGCGUGGUGAUCUUAGGCUUGUGUGCCAGAGGAAAUUUGGAACUCGGUAGUGAGUGUUGUAACCGAGAACAGACAAUUUUUACGCGCUGAGCGCUUCAGCACUCGGCGGUCGCGUUCUGUGAGCUUGUGUGGCCUACCCCUUUUACGGCUGAGCCGUUGUUGCUCCUAGACGUUUCCACUUCACAAUAACAGCACCUAAAGUUGCCUGGGUUAGCUCUAGUAGGGCAGAAAUUUCACAAACUGACUUGUUGGAAAGGUAGCAUUCUAUGACGGUGCCACGUUGAAAGUCACUGAGUUCUUCAGUAAGGCCAUUCUACUGCCAAUGUUUGUCUAUGGAGAUUGCAUGGCUGUGUGCUCGAUUUUAUACACCUGUCAGCAACAGGUGUGGCUGAAAUAGCAGAAUCCACUCAUUUGAAAGGGUGUCCACAUACUUUUGAAAAUAUAGUAUAUUUUUCUAUCAGUACUAUGUGUUAAAAGCAAUAUUUGUAUAACUUCACAUUUGUAAUAAAGCAAAAAAUUAUAACAAGAUGUUUAUUAGCCUCAUACAUAUUUAUGUGUUUAUCAAUGUAGGAUUUGAUCACCUGUCCAUAUCAAUAAUCUCCCCUUCAUACUUUUCAUUUGUAUGUUUCUAAGGACAGCUCACUGCACACUUCCUGUACUUGAACUCUUUAUACACAUUUCAUUGGAAAAAGAAAACAGACAAUUGCUUCACGCCACAAAGCUUUAGCCCGUCUUAUUGCCUUCAGCAUGAACCUACAUGAGUUCUUUGAAGCUUAGUAGUUGUAAUGCCACAUACUUACCUGAAAUGUGAUGUGAUGGACAGAGAAUCAAUGACAGUUUAUACAUGCUCAUUCUUGCUCCAGUUUCAAUGUUACAGUGUGUGUGAUGCCGCAGGAGAAAUGUCUUUAGUAACGCCCAGGCUCCAAUAUGCUGCGGGGGGACUAGGUUCCCAUGGGAAGAUGUAUGAUUACACGGUGAAGAAUAAAUACAGUACAUUUAGUUUGAAAGCACACAAACUUCUUUCCCAGGACAGGGCAAAUCAAAUCAAAGUUUAUUGGUUGCGUAUACAGAUUUGCAGAUGUAUACAGAUUUGCAGAUGUUUUCGCAGGUGCCGCGAAAUGCUUGUGUUUCUAGCUCUAAAAGUGCCGUAAUACCCAUAUACAAAACAAUACACACAUAAUCCCCCCAAAAAUGAAGAAAUAUCAGAACGAGCCAUUUCAGAGUCCGGAAUAUAAAUAUAUAUUAUAAACUGGGUGGUUCAAUCCCUGAAUGCUGAUUGGCUGAAACAUUUAUUUUUACUACUCUAAUUACGUUGGUAAUUACGUUGCGUCGUGCAUAAGAACAGCCCUUAGCCGUGGUAUAUUGGCCAUAUACCACACCCCCUCUGGCCUUAUUGCUUAAUUAUAGGCUCGGCUAUAUAUAGUAUGGCAUUGGUUGAAGCUCAAUGUUAAUUUCAUUCUGCACCUACAGUACAUAGCUCACAUUCUAGACGUCGUAUUAAAACGAGACAAUAGCGUCCAUAAAGUGACCAUUGGACUUAAAAAAGUUUGUUGGUGCAAAAGUUUUAAUAAAAAAGUAUAAUUUAUCGCUCACAUGGGCUCAUUUCUGUCAAUUAAGAACAAACGAUGAGCUAACUUUUUGUAGCAUAUCUGAUGUUAACAUAUUUUCAGCCAAAUUUCAGAGUUCCAAAACCAGGAGCAGCAACUCGGUUGCUGCUCAACAGCAGCUAGCUAGUGGCAGGCUAUGAGCUAUAAUUAGCUAAUUAACAUCAGUCGGAUGAGAAGCAUGCUACAAGCAAAGGAAGCUUUUAGCAUCUCCAUACAUACAAGCCGCAUACAAACCACAGAUUCGCGCCUUUGGAACAUUUACAUUUUAAAAAGUCAAUAAAUCAAUUGAAUAUACACCAUCAUAAUAAAUCCAUUAUUUAUUUUAGGCAGCUCUAAAGAAACGUUGAUAUGAAGAAAAUGUAUUUCAGAAGAACAGAAUACGAGUUGGCCUACUGUAUGUUAUCUGGCUAUGUGCCAUGCCAUAGUCUGUAGACUUGUUCAACUUUAGUUGUGAAUGACAGAAACCUUAGAAUGUCUUAGAAAUCAAACCAUAUAUGGGCUGCAUGAUGUCAGUGGUGUAAAGUACUUAAGUAAAAAUACUUAAGUCGUUUUUUGAGGUAUCUUUUCUUUACUUUACUAUUUAUGUUUUUGACAACUUUUACUUUUACUUCACUACAUUCCUAAAGAAAAUAAUGUUAUUUUGACUCCUUAUAUUUUCCCUGACACCCAAAACUACUCGUUCCAUUUUGAAUGCUUAGCAGGACAGGAAAAUUGUCUAAUCCACGCACUUAUCAAGAGAACAUUCCUGGUCAUCCCUACUGCCUCUGAUCUGGCAGACUCACUAAACACAAAUGCUUUGUUUGUAAAUUAUGUCUGAAUGUUUAACUGUGCCACUGGCUAUCUGUGAAUUAAAAAAA
rnacentral:lncRNA from 1 species